GAUAGAUGAGAUCUUUCUAUCAAGCAAUCUGAAGAAUGAAUAUAAGAACUCAAGAGUUUUACAAUUUGAAAAUGGCAGCAUUAUAGUCGUAUUUGACCUUUUCUUUGCCCAGUGGGUGUCAGAUGAAAAUGUAAAAGAAGAACUGAUUCAAGGCCUUGAAGCAAAUAAAUCCAGCCAACUGGUCACUUUCCAUAUUGAUUUGAACAGCGUUGAUAUCCUAGGAAAUGUCUCAAUAGAGUGCCUGCCUGGUUCAAGUCCUUGUACUGAUGCUCUAACGUGUAUAAAAGCUGAUUUAUUUUGUGAUGGAGAAGUAAACUGUCCAGAUGGUUCUGACGAAGACAAUAAAAUGUGUG
rnacentral:lncRNA from 1 species